rnacentral:rRNA from 1 species
GUCCGAAUGGGGAAACCCACCCGCUUGCGGGUAUCCUGCAGUGAAUACAUAGCUGCUGGAAGCGAACCUGGUGAACUGAAAUAUCUAAGUAACCAGAGGAAAAGAAAUCAACCGAGAUUCCGUAAGUAGCGACGAGCGAACGCGGACUAGCCCUUAAGCUGAUUUGGUUCUAGGAAAACACUCUGGAAAGAGUGGCCAUAGAAGGUGAUAGCCCUGUAUCUGAAAGGGCCAUUUCAGUGAAAACGAGUAGAGCGGAGCACCAGAAACCCUUCCUGAACAACGGGAGAACAACCUCCAACGCUAAAUA